rnacentral:rRNA from 1 species
AGGGUUUGAUCAUGGCUCAGAACGUACGCUGGCGGCACGCCUAACACAUGCAAGUCGAACGAAGUAGCAAUACUUAGUGGCAGACGGGUGAGUAACAUGUAGGUAUCUGCCCUUUGGCCUGGAAUAACACGAGGAAACUUGUGCUAAUACUGGAUAAGUCUUUACGGAGAAAGCUUUAUGCACCAUUGGAUGAGCCUGCACUUGAUUAGUUUGUUGGUGGGGUAAUGGCCUACCAAGACUGUGAUCAAUAGCUGAUUUGAGAGGAUGAUCAGCCACAUUGGGACUGAGACACGGCCCAAACUCCUACGGGAGGCAGCAGUGGGGAAUCUUGCACAAUGGAGGAAACUCUGAUGCAGCGAUGCCGCGUGAGUGAAGAAGGCCUUUGGGUUGUAAAGCUCUUUCGUCGGGGAAGAAAAUGACUGUACCCGAAUAAGAAGGUCCGGCUAACUUCGUGCCAGCAGCCGCGGUAAUACGAAGGGACCUAGCGUAGUUCGGAAUUACUGGGCUUAAAGAGUUCGUAGGUGGUUGAAAAAGUUGGUGGUGAAAUCCCAGAGCUUAACUCUGGAACUGCCAUCAAAACUUUUCAGCUAGAGUAUGAUAGAGGAAAGCAGAAUUUCUAGUGUAGAGGUGAAAUUCGUAGAUAUUAGAAAGAAUACCAAUUGCGAAGGCAGCUUUCUGGAUCAUUACUGACACUGAGGAACGAAAGCAUGGGUAGCGAAGAGGAUUAGAUACCCUCGUAGUCCAUGCCGUAAACGAUGUGUGUUAGACGUUGGAAAUUUAUUUUCAGUGUCGCAGCGAAAGCGAUAAACACACCGCCUGGGGAGUACGACCGCAAGGUUAAAACUCAAAUGAAUUGACGGGGACCCGCACAAGUAGUGGAGCAUGUGGUUUAAUUCGAAGAUACGCGCAGAACCUUACCAACACUUGACAUGUUCGUCGCGACUUUAAGAGAUUAAAGUUUUCGGUUCGGCCGGACGAAACACAGGUGCUGCAUGGCUGUCGUCAGCUCGUGUCGUGAGAUGUUGGGUUAAGUCCCGCAACGAGCGCAACCCUCACUUUUAGUUGCCAUCAUUAAGUUGGGCACUCUGAAAGAACUGCCAGUGAUAAGCUGGAGGAAGGUGGGGAUGACGUCAAGUCCUCAUGGCCCUUACGUGUUGGGCUACACACGUGCUACAAUGGUAUCUACAACAGGAAGCAAAACCGCGAGGUUAAGCAAAUCCUUAAAAGAUACCUCAGUUCGGAUUGCACUCUGCAACUCGAGUGCAUGAAGCUGGAAUUACUAGUAAUCGUGGAUCAGCGUGCCACGGUGAAUGCGUUCCCGGGUCUUGUACACACCGCCCGUCACACCAUGGGAGUUGGUUCUACCUUAAGGCAAGGUUUCAAACCCUUGACCACGGUAUAGUCAGCGACUGGGGUGAAGUCGUAACAAGGUAACCGUA